rnacentral:misc_RNA from 1 species
AGAGCCAGGGAGCGUCGCCAGCCUGGAAACAGGCCGGUGGCACCCUCCCGAACUCCACCCUUGAAUAAAUUACCUUUGUUGCUUUGGCGGGCACUCAACAGCCGAAGCCGCUGGCACGAGGCGGCCCGCCAGAGGACCACAACUCUUGUUUUUAGUGAUGUCUGAGUACUAUAUAGUAGUUAAAACUUUCAACUACGGAUCUCUUGGUUCU